UUGAGCACGCUCCGCAGACGCCCAGGCGCAGAGGGACCCGGUGGCAGUGUUCCAGGAAGGCCCCACGGCUGUGCACAGGGAAGCUCAGGGGCUGCCAGCCCAGGGUCUGAGCCACGUCCACAGGCCUUCCCACUCCAGACACUCAUAAUAUUCUUCCAUUUAAAAAGGAAGGAAGUUCUGACACCGGCUACAACACGGACGAACCUUGAGGACACUAUGCUCGGUGAGACAUGAUGCCUGGAGCUGUAGCAGCUGGAUUGUGACCAUGAGGCAUCAACCCUGAGAAGGCCAAGAGGGACCAAAGCUUCCACCCUGACAACAUCAAGCCUCUGGGCAAGGCAGCAGCUACCCAGAUCUUUGACAGCCGGUGCAGGCCGUGGGGUAGAGAGGGACCACGUGUCUGGGCGAUGAUGGACGGAGAGCUGGGCUCGGCGUGAGGACCCCCUCGUGGUGUGUGGCCCUGAGCGGAACAUCCCUCCGUGACAUGGAGCUAGAGGGAAGCCCCGUGUGGCCAUUCACACGGUGCCCACAGGUCUGGGGUCGCUCUGCUCCCGGUUGCCCUUGCAGUGCUGGGCUCGCACCACAUC